CCUACGGGUGGCAGCAGUGGGGAAUAUUGCACAAUGGGGGAAACCCUGAUGCAGCAACGCCGCGUGAGUGAGGAAGUAUUUCGGUAUGUAAAGCCCUAUUAGCAGGGAAUAGAAAAGAAGGAACCUGAAAAAGAAGCCCCGGCUAACCACGUGCCAGCAGCCGCGGUAAUACGUAGGGGGCAAGGGUUAUCCGGAUUUACUGGGUGUAAAGGGAGCGUAGACGGAAAGGCAAGUCAGAAGUGAAAGCCCAAGGCUCAACCAUGGGACUGCUUUUGAAACUGUCAGACUAGAGUACGGGAGAGGUAUGAGGAAUUCGUGGUGUAGCGGUGAAAUGCGUAGAUAUCAGGAGGAACACCAGUGGCGAAGGCGUCUUACUGGACCGAAACUGACGUUGAGGCUCGAAAGCGUGGGGAGCAAACAGGAUUAGAUACCCGUGUAGUC
rnacentral:rRNA from 1 species